rnacentral:snoRNA from 1 species
AACAAGCAGUGAUUAUCAUGACUAUAUGUCUACAAUCCUGAAACCUGAUGCUUUUCAGUCACUACCUCAUCUGAGCUUGUA